rnacentral:misc_RNA from 1 species
GAUGAAGAACGUAGUGAAAUGCGAUAAAUAAUGUGAAUUGCAGAAUUCAGUGAAUCAUCGAGUCUUUGAACGCACAUUGCGCCCCCUGGUAUUCCGGGGGGCAUGCCUGUCCGAGCGUCAUUGCUGCCCUCAAGCACGGCUUGUGUGUUGGGCCCCCGUCCCCCCCUCCCGGGGGACGGGCCCGAAAGGCAGCGGCGGCACCGCGUCCGGUCCUCGAGCGUAUGGGGCUUUGUCACCCGCUCUGUAGGCCCGGCCGGCGCCUGCCGACCACCAUCAAUCUUUUUUCAGGUUGACCUCGGAUCAGGUAGGGAUACCCGCUGAACUUAAGCAUAUCAAUAAGCGGAGGA